rnacentral:lncRNA from 1 species
UAGCCUGUAGAUGGCCCGCUAUGCUAGGGUGUAUCCCGCUCCCAUCGAGAUCCCGCCAUGGGCGCCCUGACGGACCACCACAAGCGCUGCUUCGUCGACCUCUGCCUCCCCUUCUCCCCCUAUUCCUUCUUCGAUUCCUCCUCAUCUCCUCCCUCCAAGAAGCCCAAGCUCCAAUUCGUCCCGUCCACUCCCGAUCGCGCGCCGGCGCCGGCGCCGCUGCCGCAUAACCUCCCUAGCUCCUCUCUGUCCUCUCCCCUGCCCCGCCCGCUCCACGGCCCUCAGCGAAUUCUCAAGGCUUUUGGUCUGGGAUCGGCCCGAAGGGCCCCGCCGAAGUGGUUUGGCCGGACUGAGCGGAGCUUUGACAUGGGGAACUUUGUUUCGAGGCUCUUUCAGCAAAAGAAAGAAGCUUGGAGCUCUUUGUCAUCUCGCCGGAAAGGGGAGGCAUCGGUGAGUGAGAAUGGGAGCCAUAAGAGGUUGAGAUUGGAGCAAUACAAGCGGUUGGUGGUGGGCUCGCAAGAGGAGCACUCGGGGGUAGUCUCGGAUUCCACAAAGGUAGGUCUUCCGCGGUCCUUCGCUUCGGCAGUGUCGGAUUUGACAAUUGUGACUAGGAAGGAUGAGGAACUGUCUGAGCCACAUGUUUUGAGUCGGAAGGUGGAAGAUGCGAGGAAAGUUGCAUUGGAGGCCAUUCCAGUGAGGGAGGAGAGGGCAUGGGUAAAGAAGGGACCUUUGUACAAAGAGUUGUAUGAGGAGGCGAAGAAGCAUGAUUCUAAAUUGAGUAGAUUAGAACUCGAGGUGAAGUUAACUGUGGAGAAGAUCUCCAGGUUCCGCUUAUUUGCAGCAUGGAGAGAGAAACCCAAGGAGGUACGUUCUAUUAUCUUAUGAGUUUUUAAUUGCUAACUAGCACAUAAAUUUAUAACUUGGGAACCUUAGUGGAAGAACAAAUUUUAUGUAUAUUGAGUGUUCAAUGCAGACAUUUCUGUUAUGCUAUGCUAGGACCUAUUGUUGGUUCCCGGCAGCCAUGCAAUGCAUUUGUUGGAAAAAAAAAUGAGCACGGUAAUGAGCUCUAGGAAAAUGGAAACAAAACUGGGGAAAAAAUGUGAGUUUGUGAGCAGUUGACAGAAGUACAAAGGAGCAUCAUUUUAAGUGGCUUAGUUAAUUUUAUAAAGCAAAAUGUUCAGACUAAAUGUAAGUUGAGGACUAGUUUGGCAAAAAAAGAAACAAUUAAUAUAGGGUACAAUAAAAAAAAAACUUGUUGGCUUUAUUUCCUAGAACAAAUAUUGAAAGUCCAAGCAAAAAGAGGAGCAACUAUAUCUAACAACUAGCAUGAGUGUGAAGCCUUAUUCUUAUUGAAUUGUUUGGAGCUUUAUGAUUUUUGUUUUUUGCCCAAGGACUUAAUUCUUACUCAAUGUCAGCUUUUUAAUUCUGCGACACAACUUCCUUCUUGAUACAUUUGAUCCCUUCGUCCUCCUUUUAGGACCCUAUAGGUUAUGGACUGCAUUACAAUUCAUAUUGCAUCAAUGGAACCUCUUAUAAUGCAACUUCCACUGUUGAUUCAGUGUGUUUUCUAUAACUUUUUCUCUUUACUUGGUCCAUAUCUCUAUCUCAGCUCUCAUUUUUGCUGCACUAGAGUUUGUUAAGGUGCCCACCUUGGCAGCUAGUUUGUUAGGUAGUUGCCUUUAGAUGAAAAGAGGGUGACUAAAAGAAAUACACAAGUAAACAAAAACUCUUGCAUGGUGGAAAUAAGAACCCAGCUAAAGAACAAGUUAAAAAGAAGAAAAAGAACCAAAAAGAUUAUGGCCCAAUUACAAGGAAAUGAAAACUACUCGAUCAAUCUAUCAUGUAAUCUAUAUGCUUCAUUUAUGGUUGGGAAUGAAUGGCUAAUAAUAGGUGACUAACUUAGCCUUCCUCCUUUGCAAACACUUUUUCAAUUUGUUGCCCUCCAUUCCAUAUUGUAAGAGUUAGAAUUAGAAGUUAUAUCAUGGAGAAAAGAUUGCUAGAUGAUAAUCUAAAGACAACAUAAAAAUAUUUGCAGUAUAAUGUAGUUAUAUAAGAUCUGUUACCCAAUUACCAAUAUUUUCGGUGCAGGUGAUAUUCUUGUUUUCCGGUGGAGUCAAUGUUUUGAAGUUAUUUAAUUUGACUUUCAUCAUUUCUUGUUGAUAAUGGGUUUUGGUUUGAGGGCCGAUCUUAUAUUGGGUGAUGUAUUUGGAAUUUUGGAAUUUAUAGGAGUUGGAUCAAGGUGUUGGUGGAGGCUGGAUGAUGGUGUAGGAUAGCUAGGUCAGCAUUAACUCUUUUGAAAAGAUAAACUAAGAGUAAUUAGGACCCAAUUGUUGGGAUGUUUGAUAGACAUUAGGAAAUUAUUCUACUAGAAUGCUAUUUUAUCACUUAUAGAGCAAGCAUUAUGGUUGUGAAUCUACAUUGUCUGCUUUUUGUGAUAUUAUCAAUUUUCAACUUAUAAAGUUUCAAUUUUUGGUAGCAAAGUUAAGUAAGAUUUGUGGAGACUCUUUAUAGAGGUGGGAUAUGAUUUUUUGUUUUAAUUCAAAGAAGUUGCAUUUGGUUUACAGAGAUAUUAUAUGACUCUGUUAAGAUCAAUAGCUUCUCAGAAUUAUUGGAUCAAUAGCACCAACUGACUAGUGACAUGUAAAAAUUAAGUGCCUUUUUUUUUGUAGUAUGGUUGGGCCAAAAGAGCACUUUUCCUAUGUGGGAUGCAUGGCGGAUGUUUUUGAGUGCUAACUAUGUUCAUAUGGUAAAGGAUUAGAAGAACUCCCCUUAACCUAUUCUCAUCAUCAUAUAAAGUUCCUCUGCUUAUUGAUCAUUGGAGGGCCUUCAGAACUUGCUCGCAUGCCCUUAGGAUGCUUCUGAGAGGAGAAGGCACUGUUUCUUCCUUGUCCAAAUGUUCUUUGGAUUGCAAGUGAGAAAGAUAUGAUUCAAUUGACUUCUUUGAGAAAAUGUAGAAAAUAUUUAUAAAAAACUCACCUUGAUUUUAGAUUGGAGAUUUUGCAUCAUCAUUGCAUCCAAACUAUGAAUCAGGCCUUUAAUGUUUAAAGAGAUUCUAAAUUUUACAGUGCUUAUCAAAGUGCUUGUACAGACCGAAACAAAAAUGAUACGGGCUAGAAAACAUCAAAAAACUAUAUAUUUGGAAAGGGGAACAAGGUAUAGACCUUUAUGACCUGUGUCAACUUUUAUAGUUCUUAUCAAAACAUUAGCACAAAGCAAAUGAAAAUGAUGUGAGCUAGCAUACUUUAUAGUUUACACAACCUUAUACACCAUUGUACUGCAUUCAUAUGGACACCCCCUUUCCCGUCCAUCCCUAGUAUCUUCCAUAUUUCGUGGAAUAGAGUACGAUUCUGAAUGGUACUUAAUCUAUAUUAGGGAAUGGUACCAUUAUAAACUUGAGUUGUAGAGGAUGCAGUAAGUAGAACAGACAAGUAAUUUGAUUGGUGUUAGUGAUUUGAGAGGGCAUUGCUUAAGAGUAAGGUUGUUGUGUUAUUUAUGAAACAUAGACUGAACAAAGAGGAAGAUUUAUCAGAAUGUGGUUUGAUCCAAUUAGUGCAAUUAGUGUUAAGGAUUGAAAAUCUGGAUCUGCUAUUGAGAAUUAUGUAUUGACAUGAUACAUCAAGAACAUGUUAGUGUCCUUAGUGCCACAAUGCAUCAGGGCUAUGUCUUAAAGAUGCGUAAGGCAUAGCAUGAGAGAGAGAGAGAGAUGUAAAUUCUUAGUGGCCUUGUAACCUCAUUUAAGCUUUUGUCCCUUUUAUCCCUACUUUAAAUUCAUUAUGUCAAAGUACUUAAUGAAAAUAAUAGCAAUACUGUCAAUGCAUACUCCACAUGGAAGAUGUAGAUAGUAUUCCUUCAAUUUCUCCCUGCAGCAGAUUUAAAUAUUUCUAAUAUUGUAAAUUCUGUUUCAGGUGGUAGAUUUCUCAACUACUUUCCAUCUUAUUAUUCCAUCACUGCAUAUAUUUUGGUCAGUAACCAUGUCUCUGUUCAACCAUUUGGCAAGUUAUUGCUAUUUGUCUCCACUGACCUUCAUUGUGAAAACUAAGAAAAUUUCUCGUUGAAGACCUAUGUGGUUAAAGUGUUAUAAAACUAAAUCUGCAUUUGGUGUCCAUCUAAUUAUAUUCAGUACUGCAUCAGCAUCUUGCUUGAUGUGCUUUUAAUGAACUUUAGUACCCAUUGCUUAGUCACUGUUUGGGUGACUUGAGCUUUAUGAUCUCUUGGAAGCAGUGACCAGGCUCAAUGAAUUAUGAACUACCAACUACUAAUCAGAGCAUUACUGUUAAUUGUUCAGAGUUCUGAAACAUGUUUUCCUAGCUUCUAGUGGAAUGUGAAUCUUCAUACUGCAGAAAAACGGUAAACUAUCGCCUGGUGAUGAGGUUUUUUUUUUUGGUUUAGCUGCAGUGAAAUUCGUGGUGUUGUUUUAUUUGUUUGCAAUCAGAUUAAGAUUGUGCAGUGUUGAUUGCUGAGUAUUGCAUAUUUUCUGCCUUCUUUAUUAGGCUUUGGCACUCAUCUUUCUACAUCCAUAAUAUUUUCAGGAUCUGCAUGAACUUUUUACCCCUCUUACGGAUGAAGAAGAGAAUGAAGUCUCUCAUGCAUUGUGGGGUGGUAGCAGGUACCUUUGAAUGUUAUAUGUCAAUCUUAACAUGGAGUUCUUUAAUGGACUAAUAGUUGAUUAUCACAACUCACUUUUACAAGUGCAGUCAUGAAGUUCUGGUCACACAUGGGGCAUCUAAUAUCGAGAUUACAAGAGAGGUCUUGCAAUGCUUGAGUAGUGGUGCCUGGUUGAAUGAUGAGGUGAUUCUAUCUGUAAUGUUUCCAGCUUUUUAACUAUUCCACAUUCUACCAUAUGGAUAAUGAUAGUGCAGCUCAAAAUACUAACCUUAUUUGGAGUAAUUUUUUUUUAAACACAUGUUUUGCUAUUUUUGUAGGUCAUAAAUGUAUACCUUGAGUUACUGAAGGAAAGGGAAAGAAGAGAACCUGGAAAAUGUUUGAAAUGCCAUUUCUUCAAUACUUUUUUCUAUAAAAAGGUUAGCUGUUUUAUUACUUACUAGAAACCUUCUAUUCAAUGUUCUUUCUGUUUUUAGCUAAGUACUGUAAACACAUCAUUCUUUUUGAUAAACUUACUCAUAUCUUGUGCUUCAGCUGAUUCAUGGUAUAUGAAGUAUAAAGUUAUUCUUUCAGUUGUUUCAUAGAUACCAACAAUAGGAAAACUUAAUAUAUGCAUGAUAAUAUUUGUUUCAAUGGAUGCAGAAUUGGAGAAAAUGUAUUGUGAAAGUACAUGUGAUUUUCAUGAUUCUGUUGUGAAUGUAUUUUAUUUUGUGUUUGUACUGCUUGGAUGGUGUCAUGCACCUUCUGCUACAAAAUGGAAAUCAUUUUAAAUUUUUGUCUACAGAUCUACUAACUAUGAAAACAACUGUUAUGCGUCAACUUCAAUCACAAAUACUUCAUUCAAAAUUUAUUAAGUGCCUAAGAACAAAUAAAUGAAUGAAGUACCUUCUUAAUGUGCAGUAUAAUUGCUAUGAUUGGUUGACCAAAGUAUAUAGUUGAUAUCUUAUGAACUAUUUUCUUCACUAGGACUAUGGUGUUUUCAAAUAAUUACCGAAAUUCUUAUUAAAAUGUUGAAUCUACACUGCCAUUUAUAUGAUGGCCAUUUCAUGACAUGAUAGAGUAAUACAUGCACUUAUCCUAUCUUGUUAACUUGGCAACCAUCUUGGAAUUUGUAUCAGUCUUAGCAAUACUCCUCUAGCUUGUUGCAAAUCAGGAAAAAGAAGUGAACUGUAGAGUUGUAAGUCUUUCUUUGUCUGUUGUAUGAUUUUGCUUGCAUGCUGGAACUGGACAUACUUGUCUAAGUAUCAAGUUAUAAUGAUCUUUUCCUUUUCUGUUAACUAAUUGAACUAUUUAUUAUAGUUUUUGACCUUUCUCAUAGGUGGAAUUUUAGUUUUGAGUACAAAUGAAUUUUCCCAAACUUUCUUAUGAGUUUCAGUACUUUCUUGGUUACUCUUCAGCUGAACAGUGGUAGAAAUGGUUAUGACUUCAAGGCUGUAAGAAGAUGGACUACCCAAAAGAAGUUAGGGUAUGGCCUUAUCGAGUGUGACAAAGUAAAGUUGUUAUUGGACCUUAUAUUCCUUUUAUAAAAUUAAUCGACUCUGUUAUUUAAUUUGCCAUGCUGGUUUCUCUCAUCUUCAGAAUUGACUGUGCAGAUCUUUGUCCCUGUACACAAAGAUAUACAUUGGUGUUUAGCGGUUAUUAAUGUAAAGAAUGAAACCUUCCAAUAUCUUGAUUCACUCGGUGGCAUGGAUACUGUUGUGCUAAGAGUGCUGGUAAGCUUUACUGAUAUAUCCUGAUAAGCCGCACGGGAACUCCCCCCCACUGCUGCCGCUCGCGCGCUCUCUCUCUUCUCACAUAUACACCCACAAUUCCUCACAUAUACACCCAAGCCCCUUCCCUGACCAUAUUUCCUCCUCCAUCAUGGACGAAAGAAAUUAAAAUAAAGUCCACCUUGUUCCCCCUAUUUCACCCUUCUCCAAUCCCCUCCUUCCACUCCACUUCCUCCCCGCUUCCCCUCCCCCAAAUCCUAGGGUUUCUGCUCGACCUCGAACCCGCUCCGUCGAUCCCCCCCCAUUUCGAUCCUCAAACAUUCGCAUCCUCCGCUCAUCUAGGGUUUCUCGCAUGGACUCCUAGCCUGUAGAUGGCCCGCUAUGCUAGGGUGUAUCCCGCCCCCAUCGAGAUCCCGACAUGGGCGCCCUGACGGACCACCACAAGCGCUGCUUCGUCGACCUCUGCCUCCCCUUCUCCCCCUAUUCCUUCUUCGAUUCCUCCUCAUCUCCUCCCUCCAAGAAGCCCAAGCUCCAAUUCGUCCCGUCCACUCCCGAUCGCGCGCCGGCGCCGGCGCCGCUGCCGCAUAACCUCCCUAGCUCCUCUCUGUCCUCUCCCCUGCCCCGCCCGCUCCACGGCCCUCAGCGAAUUCUCAAGGCUUUUGGUCUGGGAUCGGCCCGAAGGGCCCCGCCGAAGUGGUUUGGCCGGACUGAGCGGAGCUUUGACAUGGGGAACUUUGUUUCGAGGCUCUUUCAGCAAAAGAAAGAAGCUUGGAGCUCUUUGUCAUCUCGCCGGAAAGGGGAGGCAUCGGUGAGUGAGAAUGGGAGCCAUAAGAGGUUGAGAUUGGAGCAAUACAAGCGGUUGGUGGUGGGCUCGCAAGAGGAGCACUCGGGGGUAGUCUCGGAUUCCACAAAGGUAGGUCUUCCGCGGUCCUUCGCUUCGGCAGUGUCGGAUUUGACAAUUGUGACUAGGAAGGAUGAGGAACUGUCUGAGCCACAUGUUUUGAGUCGGAAGGUGGAAGAUGCGAGGAAAGUUGCAUUGGAGGCCAUUCCAGUGAGGGAGGAGAGGGCAUGGGUAAAGAAGGGACCUUUGUACAAAGAGUUGUAUGAGGAGGCGAAGAAGCAUGAUUCUAAAUUGAGUAGAUUAGAACUCGAGGUGAAGUUAACUGUGGAGAAGAUCUCCAGGUUCCGCUUAUUUGCAGCAUGGAGAGAGAAACCCAAG